rnacentral:rRNA from 1 species
GGGUUGUGAGGUUAAGCGACUAAGCGUACACGGUGGAUGCCCUGGCAGUCAGAGGCGAUGAAGGACGUGCUAAUCUGCGAUAAGCGUCGGUAAGGUGAUAUGAACCGUUAUAACCGGCGAUUUCCGAAUGGGGAAACCCAGUGUGUUUCGACACACUAUCAUUAACUGAAUCCAUAGGUUAAUGAGGCGAACCGGGGGAACUGAAACAUCUAAGUACCCCGAGGAAAAGAAAUCAACCGAGAUUCCCCCAGUAGCGGCGAGCGAACGGGGAGGAGCCCAGAGCCUGAAUCAGUGUGUGUGUUAGUGGAAGCGUCUGGAAAGGCGCGCGAUACAGGGUGACAGCCCCGUACACAAAAAUGCACAUAUUGUGAGCUCGAUGAGUAGGGCGGGACACGUGGUAUCCUGUCUGAAUAUGGGGGGACCAUCCUCCAAGGCUAAAUACUCCUGACUGACCGAUAGUGAACCAGUACCGUGAGGGAAAGGCGAAAAGAACCCCGGCGAGGGGAGUGAAAAAGAACCUGAAACCGUGUACGUACAAGCAGUGGGAGCCUCUUUUAUGGGGUGACUGCGUACCUUUUGUAUAAUGGGUCAGCGACUUAUAUUCUGUAGCAAGGUUAACCGAAUAGGGGAGCCGAAGGGAAACCGAGUCUUAACUGGGCGUUAAGUUGCAGGGUAUAGACCCGAAACCCGGUGAUCUAGCCAUGGGCAGGUUGAAGGUUGGGUAACACUAACUGGAGGACCGAACCGACUAAUGUUGAAAAAUUAGCGGAUGACUUGUGGCUGGGGGUGAAAGGCCAAUCAAACCGGGAGAUAGCUGGUUCUCCCCGAAAGCUAUUUAGGUAGCGCCUCGUGAAUUCAUCUCCGGGGGUAGAGCACUGUUUCGGCAAGGGGGUCAUCCCGACUUACCAACCCGAUGCAAACUGCGAAUACCGGAGAAUGUUAUCACGGGAGACACACGGCGGGUGCUAACGUCCGUCGUGAAGAGGGAAACAACCCAGACCGCCAGCUAAGGUCCCAAAGUCAUGGUUAAGUGGGAAACGAUGUGGGAAGGCCCAGACAGCCAGGAUGUUGGCUUAGAAGCAGCCAUCAUUUAAAGAAAGCGUAAUAGCUCACUGGUCGAGUCGGCCUGCGCGGAAGAUGUAACGGGGCUAAACCAUGCACCGAAGCUGCGGCAGCGACACUAUGUGUUGUUGGGUAGGGGAGCGUUCUGUAAGCCUGUGAAGGUGUACUGUGAGGUAUGCUGGAGGUAUCAGAAGUGCGAAUGCUGACAUAAGUAACGAUAAAGCGGGUGAAAAGCCCGCUCGCCGGAAGACCAAGGGUUCCUGUCCAACGUUAAUCGGGGCAGGGUGAGUCGACCCCUAAGGCGAGGCCGAAAGGCGUAGUCGAUGGGAAACAGGUUAAUAUUCCUGUACUUGGUGUUACUGCGAAGGGGGGACGGAGAAGGCUAUGUUGGCCGGGCGACGGUUGUCCCGGUUUAAGCGUGUAGGCUGGUUUUCCAGGCAAAUCCGGAAAAUCAAGGCUGAGGCGUGAUGACGAGGCACUACGGUGCUGAAGCAACAAAUGCCCUGCUUCCAGGAAAAGCCUCUAAGCAUCAGGUAACAUCAAAUCGUACCCCAAACCGACACAGGUGGUCAGGUAGAGAAUACCAAGGCGCUUGAGAGAACUCGGGUGAAGGAACUAGGCAAAAUGGUGCCGUAACUUCGGGAGAAGGCACGCUGAUAUGUAGGUGAAGUCCCUCGCGGAUGGAGCUGAAAUCAGUCGAAGAUACCAGCUGGCUGCAACUGUUUAUUAAAAACACAGCACUGUGCAAACACGAAAGUGGACGUAUACGGUGUGACGCCUGCCCGGUGCCGGAAGGUUAAUUGAUGGGGUCAGCGCAAGCGAAGCUCUUGAUCGAAGCCCCGGUAAACGGCGGCCGUAACUAUAACGGUCCUAAGGUAGCGAAAUUCCUUGUCGGGUAAGUUCCGACCUGCACGAAUGGCGUAAUGAUGGCCAGGCUGUCUCCACCCGAGACUCAGUGAAAUUGAACUCGCUGUGAAGAUGCAGUGUACCCGCGGCAAGACGGAAAGACCCCGUGAACCUUUACUAUAGCUUGACACUGAACAUUGAGCCUUGAUGUGUAGGAUAGGUGGGAGGCUUAGAAGUGUGGACGCCAGUCUGCAUGGAGCCGACCUUGAAAUACCACCCUUUAAUGUUUGAUGUUCUAACGUGGACCCGUGAUCCGGGUUGCGGACAGUGUCUGGUGGGUAGUUUGACUGGGGCGGUCUCCUCCUAAAGAGUAACGGAGGAGCACGAAGGUUGGCUAAUCCUGGUCGGACAUCAGGAGGUUAGUGCAAUGGCAUAAGCCAGCUUGACUGCGAGCGUGACGGCGCGAGCAGGUGCGAAAGCAGGUCAUAGUGAUCCGGUGGUUCUGAAUGGAAGGGCCAUCGCUCAACGGAUAAAAGGUACUCCGGGGAUAACAGGCUGAUACCGCCCAAGAGUUCAUAUCGACGGCGGUGUUUGGCACCUCGAUGUCGGCUCAUCACAUCCUGGGGCUGAAGUAGGUCCCAAGGGUAUGGCUGUUCGCCAUUUAAAGUGGUACGCGAGCUGGGUUUAGAACGUCGUGAGACAGUUCGGUCCCUAUCUGCCGUGGGCGCUGGAGAACUGAGGGGGGCUGCUCCUAGUACGAGAGGACCGGAGUGGACGCAUCACUGGUGUUCGGGUUGUCAUGCCAAUGGCACUGCCCGGUAGCUAAAUGCGGAAGAGAUAAGUGCUGAAAGCAUCUAAGCACGAAACUUGCCCCGAGAUGAGUUCUCCCUGACCCUUUAAGGGUCCUGAAGGAACGUUGAAGACGACGACGUUGAUAGGCCGGGUGUGUAAGCGCAGCGAUGCGUUGAGCUAACCGGUACUAAUGAACCGUGAGGCUUAACCUUACAACGCCGAAG